rnacentral:rRNA from 1 species
ACGGGAGGCAGCAGUGGGGAAUAUUGCACAAUGGGGGGAACCCUGAUGCAGCAACGCCGCGUGAGUGAUGACGGUCUUCGGAUUGUAAAGCUCUGUCUUUGGGGACGAUAAUGACGGUACCCAAGGAGGAAGCCACGGCUAACUACGUGCCAGCAGCCGCGGUAAUACGUAGGUGGCGAGCGUUGUCCGGAUUUACUGGGCGUAAAGGGAGCGUAGGCGGAUUCUUAAGUGGGAUGUGAAAUACCCGGGCUUAACCUGGGUGCUGCAUUCCAAACUGGGAAUCUAGAGUGCAGGAGGGGAGAGUGGAACUCCUAGUGUAGCGGUGAAAUGCGUAGAGAUUAGGAAGAACACCAGUGGCGAAGGCGACUCGCUGGACUGUAACUGACGUUGAGGCUCGAAAGCGUGGGGAGCAAACAGGAUUAGAUACCCUGGUA